AGGAAAUCAUUAACUGAAGCAUUAAACUUAAAAUACAUACCUGGAGAUCUGUUUAAGUAAGAUAGGAAUUACAACAUAUUUCCAGCCCCAAAAAUCUGCCUGGAGCAUUUACAAGCAAAUACCUUUUAGAGUACUAAGCAAAGAAGCUUGUCAUAGACGCACCAUGGAAAACUAAGGAAAUGAGCCCUAUCCAUUCCCUCAUUGUAACGACCCCAGCUUUUCCAUGAAAUCGGGAUACUCAUGGGCACAUAGAUAAGAAGGUAUUUCAGCUGCAACACCAGUUUUCGGGAACUCAACUGCAAUUGAGUAUAGCUCAGCAAGUUCCAAACAUUUAUGGGUCAUUGCACUGCAGGGCUCCCCAUCUGCAAAGACAGUGUGGGCUCUUUGGAUGAUUCCUAAAUUUUCAUUGACUAUGUUGUUGAUGAAACACUCCUCUAAUUCCUGCAGGACAAAAAUGACAGGCUUUCAUAUGUUAGCUGUGGAAGAAAGUUUUUGCAAAGGACAUGGAAAUGUGAGAGGUCAGAGCCUUUCAUUCGUUCCUACUUAACUUUAUUUUCUUCACAUGAAGAUGCAGCUGCAAUGUAUUUUGUUAAAUAUUUACAGAGACGCAAAAGAUUUCUAAAUUUUGUCUAAACAUAUUUUUAUGUAUAGAUGUGUAUUUGGAAACAGUUUCUUAGAUCACCAAAUACUUCUACAUGCUCAUUGGAUGUGUAAGUAUUGCAACUAAAUAUAAGCUAAAUGCUUAAUUGUCAUUGAAAAAAGGUAAAAUCCAAGGUAAUGAAGGCUAGAUGCUAGAUGAUUGCAGCACGAUGUAUUCUCUCAACUGUGAGCAAAUGUGAAGAAAAUUAUCAGUGAUAGCUAAUAUAUAUAUAUAUAUGUAUGUAUACAUACACAUAUAUCAUUCCAUUCAUAUUGCAGUUAAUAUGAUAAUUACUUGCAGUGACAAACUAAAAAUAUCAAAUUCUAGCACUCGUUCUGUUGUUACUUUUUCAAAUCAAAAUGUACUAAUAAUACCUCUAUCGUAACGUCAUGAUCCAGUUGCAUAGUUGGUGCUGCAAUAUAUUCCGCUGGUUCAGCUUGCAGAGGAGGAAUGAGAUCACGGUCCCAACAGACAAAGUCAAAUCCUAUGGGUGGAUUCACAAUGGACACAAGACCAGAACUGCAAGAGAAAGGAGACCCUUCCAUCAAUCCAAGUUGUUCUUCAUUUUCUUUAUAGUGGACAAAAUCAAGGUGGAAUUUCGGAAGCCAGAGC